GCCCGGCUGGCUCAGUAGGUAGAGCUUGAGACUCAACAUCUCAGGGUCGCGGGUUCGUGUCCCACGUUGGGCA